rnacentral:rRNA from 1 species
CGCUUAACACAUGCAAGUCGAACGUGAAGCUCCGAGCUUGCUCGGGGUGGAAAGUGGCGAACGGGUGAGUAACACGUGAGGAACCUGCCCCGAAGACCGGAAUAACACCGGGAAACCGGUGCUAAUACCGGAUGCCCUCAUCGGACCGCAUGAUCCGGUGAGGAAAUGGAUUCCGCUUCGGGAUGGUCUCGCGGCCUAUCAGCUUGUUGGUGGGGUAACGGCCCACCAAGGCUUCGACGGGUAGCUGGUCUGAGAGGAUGUCCAGCCACACUGGGACUGAGACACGGCCCAGACUCCUACGGGAGGCAGCAGUGGGGAAUCUUGCGCAAUGGGCGAAAGCCUGACGCAGCGAUGCCGCGUGCGGGAUGAAGGCCUUCGGGUUGUAAACCGCUUUCAGCAGGGACGAAAUUGACGGUACCUGCAGAAGAAGCCCCGGCCAACUACGUGCCAGCAGCCGCGGUAAUACGUAGGGGGCGAGCGUUGUCCGGAUUUAUUGGGCGUAAAGAGCUCGUAGGCGGUUCGAU